GACGAUCGCUGGCGGCGUGCUUAACACAUGCAAGUCGAACGAUGAAGCUGGAGCUUGCUCCGGUGGAUUAGUGGCGAACGGGUGAGUAACACGUGAGAAAUCUGCCCUUGACUCUGGGAUAACUGCGGGAAACUGUAGCUAAUACCGGAUAUUUUCCUUGGUGGGCAUCCACUGGGGAAGAAAGAAUUUCGGUCAAGGAUGAUCUCGCGGCCUAUCAGCUAGUUGGUGAGGUAAUGGCUCACCAAGGCGACGACGGGUAGCCGGCCUAAGAGGGUGACCGGCCACACUGGGACUGAGACACGGCCCAGACUCCUACGGGAGGCAGCAGUGGGGAAUAUUGCACAAUGGGCGCAAGCCUGAUGCAGCAACGCCGCGUGAGGGAUGAAGGCCUUCGGGUUGUAAACCUCUUUUAGCAGGGAAGAAGCGAAAGUGACGGUACCUGCAGAAAAAGCACCGGCUAACUACGUGCCAGCCGCCGCAGUAA
rnacentral:rRNA from 1 species